CUGUGCCUCUUCUUCGGUCAGUGGGCGUCUCACAGGAGCCCUGGAGAGUGCAUCAGCUGUGAUGAGUGCCUUCCCUGGCACGGCCAGUAGUGGUUUAUGGUCUGUCUCUAUCGUGAAUGAUAGGCCUAGGAGAGAGACUUCGAGAAAUGUAUGCGAUUGGACGCCACUCCAUGUGUCUCUGCAUAAGGACAGCACCCAGGCCAAAGGAUGAUGCGUCUGCAGACACUUUUGUUUUGGCUUGGCUAGUGGUCUGUACUGAGCCAACACUCUCUGUGAUGCCAGCUCCUUUUUGAGGUUUUCAAAUGAUGUCUGUUGCAUGUGGCCCCAAGACCACUCAUUGUUCUUUGAUAGCAAGUCUCUGAGCGGUUUGGUGGUGUCUGAAAAUUUAGGGAUAA